UAUCUACUCCCUCUGUCCAACAAAAGAUGUCUUAACUUUAACUAAAUUUGAAUACAUCUAUACACUAAGUCAUGUCUAGAUACAUCCAAAUUUUGACAAACUUGAGACAUUCUUUGUUGGACGGAGGGAGUACCAA
rnacentral:pre_miRNA from 1 species